UACAGAGGGGGCAAGCGUUGUUCGGAAUUACUGGGCGUAAAGGGCGCGUAGGCGGCCCGCUAAGUCGAACGUGAAAUCCCCGAGCUCAACUCGGGAACUGCGUCCGAUACUGGUGGGCUUGAAUCCGGGAGAGGGAUGCGGAAUUCCCGGUGUAGCGGUGAAAUGCGCAGAUAUCGGGAGGAACACCGGUGGCGAAGGCGGUUCUCUGGGCCUGACCUGACGCUGAGGAGCGAAAGCGUGGGGAGCGAACAGG
rnacentral:rRNA from 1 species